GAUGAACGCUGGCGGCGUGCCUAAUACAUGCAAGUAGAACGCUGAAGGAAGGAGCUUGCUCUUUCCGGAUGAGUUGCGAACGGGUGAGUAACGCGUAGGUAACCUGCCUGGUAGCGGGGGAUAACUAUUGGAAACGAUAGCUAAUACCGCAUAACAGUAGAUGUUGCAUGAUAUCUACUUAAAAGGUGCAAUUGCACCACUACCAGAUGGACCUGCGUUGUAUUAGCUAGUUGGUGAGGUAACGGCUCACCAAGGCGACGAUACAUAGCCGACCUGAGAGGGUGAUCGGCCACACUGGGACUGAGACACGGCCCAGACUCCUACGGGAGGCAGCAGUAGGGAAUCUUCGGCAAUGGACGGAAGUCUGACCGAGCAACGCCGCGUGAGUGAAGAAGGUUUUCGGUUCGUAAAGCUCUGUUGUAAGAGAAGAACGAGUGUGAGAGUGGAAAGUUCACACUGUGACGGUAUCUUACCAGAAAGGGACGGCUAACUACGUG
rnacentral:rRNA from 1 species